rnacentral:rRNA from 1 species
ACCGAGAUUCCCCCAGUAGCGGCGAGCGAACGGGGAGCAGCCCGGAGUCUGAAUCAGCUUGUGUGUUAGUGGAACGGUCUGGAAAGUCCGACGGUACAGGGUGAUAGUCCCGUACACGAAAACACACUUGCUGUGAACUCGAAGAGUAGGGCGGGACACGUGGUAUCCUGUCUGAAUAUGGGGGGACCAUCCUCCAAGGCUAAAUACUCCUGACUGACCGAUAGUGAACCAGUACCGUGAGGGAAAGGCGAAAAG